rnacentral:rRNA from 1 species
AGGGUUGAUAGGUUAAGAGCUAAUUAUCUGGACGUUACCCACAGAAGAAGCACCGGCUAACUCCGUGCCAGCAGCCGCGGUAAUACGGAGGGUGCGAGCGUUAAUCGGAAUUACUGGGCGUAAAGGGUGCGUAGGUGGUUUUAUGAGUUAUCUGUGAAAUUCCUGGGCUCAACCUAGGGUGGUCAGAUAAGACUGUGAGACUUUGAGUAUAGGAGAGGGUAGUGGAAUUUCCGGUGUAGCGGUGAAAUGCGUAGAGAUCGGAAGGAACACCAGUGGCGAAGGCGGCUACCUGGCCUAAUACUGACACUGAGGCACGAAAGCGUGGGGAGCAAACAGGAUUAGAUACCCUGGUAGUCCACGCUGUAAACGAUGUCAACUAGCUGUUGG